GACGAACGCUGGCGGCAGGCCUAACACAUGCAAGUCGAGCGAGCGGCGGACGGGUGAGUAAUGUGUGGGAAACUUCCUGAUGGGGGGGGAUAACUACUGGAAACGGUAGCUAAUACCGCAUACCAUCUGAUGUGCCCAGAUGGGAUUGGUUUGUGGGUGGGGUAACGGCUCACCUAGGCAACGAGCCCUAGCUGGUCAGAGAGGAUGACCGGCCACACUGGAACUGAGAAACGGUCCAGACUCCUACGGGAGGCAGAAGUGGGGAAUAUUGCAAAAUGGGCGCAAGCUGGAUGCAGCCAUGCCGCGUGUGGGAAGAAGGCCUUCGGGUUGUAAGGCACUUUCUGCGGGGAGGCGUUACCCGAAGAAGAAGCACCGGCUAACUCCGUGCCAGCAGCCGCGGUAAUUC
rnacentral:rRNA from 1 species